AAACAUUGAUAGUUAACUACACCCGCUAUCCGCCCGGGGACUACGAGCAUUAGCUUGAAACCCAAAGGACUUGGCGGUGCUUUAGAUCCACCUAGAGGAGCCUGUUCUAGAACCGAUUACCCCCGUUCAACCUCACCUUUCCUUGUUUCCCCCGCCUAUAUACCACCGUCGUCAGCUUACCCUGUGAAGGACUCAUAGUAAGCAAGAUUGGCACAGCCCAAAACGUCAGGUCGAGGUGUAGCGUAUGGAAAGGGAAGAAAUGGGCUACAUUCCCUAAUAUAGUGUAAUACGAACGAUACACUGAAAUACGUAUCUGAAGGAGGAUUUAGCAGUAAGCAGAAAAUAGAGCGUCCC
rnacentral:rRNA from 1 species